rnacentral:rRNA from 1 species
AUGAGACUCUUGCUUCCCUUUGAAAGAGGCAGACCCCUACUUCAAUUGUCAUCUGACGCCUCUACCCCAGCUGUGGACUCAGACCUCUCACAACCAAAAAAAAGAAAAUCAAAAUCAAACGAAUCCGAAUAUAACCAAUCUAUCGCCUUUGAUGACUCGUUGACAGCCUCCUCAACCCAAGCUUCCAUCUCCUGCUCCAGACAUCGGCGCUUGCCCGCGCCAGUCCAUGAAAGGUGGAUGAAGGUGAGUUUGACUACAAACUCGAGGAUGCUGGGAACGAUCUCUUUUCGGGGAAUCACUCCCGUCGAGAGGUUCUCUUCCUCCCUUUUUCUGAAUCUGGUAGAGAGGCAAAAGAGAAGUCCAGAGAGACCUCGACUCUUUCAGGGAAAGGAGGGAGAUCGAAUGCGAGAUGGAGUCCCUGCCGAAUGGAAUGGACAUCCGUGGGGACAGCUGUGUAAGACUUAA